UCUGAAUACAUAGGAUAAUGAAGGCAGACCCGGGGAACUGAAACAUCUAAGUACCCGGAGGAAGAGAAAGCAAACGCGAUUCCCUGAGUAGCGGCGAGCGAAACGGGAACAGCCCAAACCGAAAGGCUUGCCUUUCGGGGUUGUAGGACACUCAACAUGGAGUUACAAAGGAACGGGGUAGAUGAAGCGAUCUGGAAAGGUCCGUCAUAGAAGGUAAAAACCCUGUAGUUGAAACUUCGUUCCCUCCUGAGUGGAUCCUGAGUACGGCCGGACACGAGAAAUCCGGUCGGAAGCAGGGAGGACCAUCUCCCAAGGCUAAAUACUCCCGAGUGACCGAUAGUGAACCAGUACCGUGUGGGAAAGGUGAAAAGCACCUCGGAAGGGGAGUGAAAUAGUGCC
rnacentral:rRNA from 1 species